GUGAGACAGGUGCUGCAUGGCUGUCGUCAGCUCGUGUUGUGAAAUGUUGGGUUAAGUCCCGCAACGAGCGCAACCCUUAUCCUUUGUUGCCAGCGAUUCGGUCGGGAACUCAAAGGAGACUGCCAGUGAUAAACUGGAGGAAGGUGGGGAUGACGUCAAGUCAUCAUGGCCCUUACGACCAGGGCUACACACGUGCUACAAUGGCGCAUACAAAGAGAAGCGACCUCGCGAGAGCAAGCGGACCUCAUAAAGUGCGUCGUAGUCCGGAUUGGAGUCUGCAACUCGACUCCAUGAAGUCGGAAUCGCUAGUAAUCGUGGAUCAGAAUGCCACGGUGAAUACGUUCCCGGGCCUUGUACACACCGCCCGUCACACCAUGGGAGUGGGUUGCAAAAGAAGUAGGUAGCUUAACCUUCGGGAGGGCGCUUACCACUUUGUGAUUCAUGACUGGGGUGAAGUCGUAACAAGGUAACCGUAGGGGAACCUGCGGUUGGAUCACCUCCUUACCUUAAAGAAGC
rnacentral:rRNA from 1 species